rnacentral:lncRNA from 1 species
ACUGCUUCCUCAGGAUAAUCAGCUUGGUUGAAAAGUGGAAUCGUUCUGAAGGGACACCACAGGUAAAGAGUCCUACUAAGUUGUGUCUUGGUAGACCUUUUGACCAUAUUUGCUAGUUGCAACAAUAAGCAUUAGGAGUUAAGAUAGUUCAGACCACCUUUAUCUCAGAUCUCAUUGCAAAAAAACUAUUAUGUGUUCCUCGAAUAUAUAAACAACAAAUAACUCGAAAAUUUAAAUCUGGAUAGGUUGCUUAUACAUUUGAUGCUGGCCCAAAUGCUGUACUGAUUGCACGCAACAGAAAGGUAGCAGUUCAAUUGCUCCAGGGGCUUCUCUACUAUUUUCCCCCUAAGUCUGACACUGAUAUGAAGAGGUGAGAGAUAGAAACUUUGUAAUACUUUUAACGAGUUUAACAUAUAUGACUAAAAAGCUGAUUGUAAUGAUUUGAGUUUCUUUGUUUACCAGUUACGUAGUGGGAGAUAACUCGAUUCUUAAGGAGGCAGGGUUAGACGGAGCAAACAGUGUAGAGAAUCUGCAACCUCCACCUGAAAUCAAAGACAACAUUGGGUCACAGGAUCAAAAAGGAGAAGUCAGUUAUUUUAUCUGCACUAAACCUGGAAGAGGUCCUGUCGUGCUUCCAGACCAAACUCAGGCUCUUCUCGAUCCGCAAACCGGCCUUCCCAAGUGAGCAUUUUCUCUGCUUGAUCAAUUUAAUGUUAUGAUUUGCAGCAUCCUUUUU